UACGAAGGGGGCUAGCGUUGCUCGGAAUCACUGGGCGUAAAGCGCACGUAGGCGGCUUACUAAGUCAGGGGUGAAAUCCUGGAGCUCAACUCCAGAACUGCCUUUGAUACUGGUAAGCUCGAGUCCGGGAGAGGUGAGUGGAAUUCCUGGUGUAGCGGUGAAAUGCGCAGAUAUCAGGAAGAACACCCGUGGCUAAGGCGGCUCUCUAGUACGGUACUGACGCUGAGACGCGAAAGCGUGGGGAGCGAACAGG
rnacentral:rRNA from 1 species